rnacentral:rRNA from 1 species
AACGAACGCUGGCGGCGUGCUUAACACAUGCAAGUCGAACGGACAGACAGAGAGCUUGCUCUCUUGAAGUUAGUGGCGAACGGGUGAGUAACGCGUAAUCAACCUGCCCUUCAGAGGGGGAUAACAACGGGAAACCGUUGCUAAUACCGCGUACGAUUCAUGAACGGCAUCGUUUAUGAAUGAAAGGUGGCCUCUAUGUAUAAGCUAUCGCUGAAGGAGGGGAUUGCGUCUGAUUAGCUAGUUGGAGGGGUAACGGCCCACCAAGGCAAUGAUCAGUGGCAGGUCGGAGAGGAUGAACGGCCGAAUUGGGACUGAGACACGGCCCAAACUCCUACGGGAGGCAGCAGUGGGGAAUCUUCCGCAAUGGACGAAAGUCUGACGGAGCAACGCCGCGUGAGUGAUGAAGGUCUUCGGAUUGUAAAGCUCUGUUAAUCGGGACGAAAGAGUUCUGCGUGAAUAAUGCAGAAAAGUGACGGUACCGGAAUAGAAAGCCACGGCUAACUACGUGCCAGCAGCCGCCGUAA